rnacentral:rRNA from 1 species
UGAGGAAUAUUGGUCAAUGGGCGCAAGCCUGAACCAGCCAUGCCGCGUGCAGGAAGACGGCCCUCUGGGUUGUAAACUGCUUUUAUUCGGGAAUAAACCACAUUACGUGUAGUGUGCUGAAUGUACCGAAGGAAUAAGGAUCGGCUAACUCCGUGCCAGCAGCCGCGGUCAUACGUAGGACCCAAGCGUUAUCCGGAGUGACUGGGCGUAAAGAGUUGCGUAGGUGGUUUAUCAAGUCAGGGGUGAAAGACGGUGGCUCAACCAUCGCAGUGCCCUUGAUACUGAUGAGCUUGAAUGGACUAGAGGUAGGCGGAAUGUGACAAGUAGCGGUGAAAUGCAUAGAUAUGUCACAGAACACCGAUUGCGAAGGCAGCUUACUAUGGUUUAAUUGACGCUGAGGCACGAAAGCGUGGGGAUCAAACA